rnacentral:lncRNA from 1 species
UGUCUUUUCCUGAACCACGGACAGAACUCCACAUGUCUUGAAAUGGUUGUUUACAUUUCAGAACUCAUGGAGGAGAGGGGAAUCCUAUGGAAUGAGAGCAGAUGCCCCACCCCCACUUCCUCUUUCUCUUGAAGAAAAAGCUUUUGGAAUGACAAGUCACUUCCCCCUGCUUACAGGCACCCUGCCCCUUUGCUGAAGGCACAUCUGCCUGUGUCCCUAACUUGCCUCUUUUCCUCUGGUUGGGACUGAUUGGAGGAGUCUAAGACAGGCAGUGGGAAGUGAAAAGGGAGGCCUUGUAUAUCUCGGACAGACACAGAGCGGGUUCAGAAGCUGUUUCCAGUGGAGCCAUUGCUUCUUGAAGCAGAGUUACUUGGGCAGGUUCUUUUAGAUGUGUAUGCGUGCGCGCAUGCAUGCAUAUUUAAGAAAAAGAGACCGAAGGAACAGUGUUCAUAAAUUGGAAAAUACUAGGGCCUAAGUUUCUUGAGACACAAAGAACUCAGAUCCCUAGUGGGUGCAACUAUGAAGGUAAAUGCCUAUUGACAUUUGGCUCUAAACCUACAUGGCAUGUUUUAUUUGUUACACCCCAUGGUUCAGGACUUCAGAAGACAGCUGCUAAUGAGCUGAAUUUCUUAGUCAGUGGGAAAAAAUGGAAACUGUCUAGAAACACAGGAUGCUUUAGGGGCAGCAUAGAAGUAGGGAGAAUGAGCCAGCCCCACUGGAGGGUUCCAUCUCUGAAGUUGGUCUUUAGAAUGGAAGAAUAAGGAACAGUUUAGACCUUCUUCAAUAGCCAGUCUCCACAAGAAGUGCUGGACAUGCCUGAGAGAAGAACCAGGAGCUUAUGCCUCCGAGGUGACAGGGGAGGUGACAGGGAGAAGAAGUUUGAAGCGGACACAGGCUCUACUGUUCUUCCCGGAGUCCCACCUGCCAUCCAUCGCAUUUCUAUGGAGGUGUCAGCAGCUUUCCCAUGCAGGUCGGAACUUGUGAGGAGGCCUCCGCACUUACUCAGAGACACAGACAAAACAGCACCACUGUGAGGAGGUAGCUGACAGUAUCUUGGCCAUGCAUGCUCUCAGACAGUUCACAUCUGUGAUUUUCAUGUAAACCAGGGAGCUGGACUUUGUUCUCAGCCUACGGGUUUUUCAGACGUCUCCCGCAGGCCUAUGGGAUGAACAGAAUCCUCAAAAGGCACUGAAUUGGAGGUUGUUCAAAUCUCUCAUUAACCACUAAUGUUCAUUCAUCCCAAACUCAGAGCAUUCUGAGCCAGCAGAUGCAGGCAUUUCUGUUUUAAGUCACUUCAAACAUAAUUGAAAGGAUUUCACUGAGAGCAGACUCUCAGAGGUAAAAAUAAAUAUGUCACAAAAACUCUUUGGUAUAUGAGGUAUCCUAUGAUUCCUGGUGGAAAGAUUUGAACAAGUAGACUUUCGAGUUAAUAAAACAUGUUCCAUUUCUUUGAUUCAUAUUUAAAGACAUAAAUUUAUAUGCACAGGGAUAAAGAGUCCAUUUGCCAAGUGUGAAUCAUAACAGGCCACCAAGUUCAUUUUUAUUUUCUAGAACAAAAGUGUCACUUAUUAUUGGGUAGAGAAAGAGUUAUUUCUGCAGAGAAAGAAGAAAACGUGGAUUUUGACAUGGACCAUCUUAUCCAUUAUUCAAUGCCUGUGCCUGAACAUGUUCAGUGUGGUGUAGCCUAUAAGUCAGCAAGGAAGUGCCCUCGAACUGUAGAGAAUCAGAGCUUUGUUCCCUGGGCAGAGCUCAAACACCAGGGGGUCAUGAGCUAGGCACUGCAGGUCAGCCCCACAGCCUGUGUCUUUUGAGCCAUUUUGUUCAUGGAUAAUUUAAAUAUAGGACCACCAAACAAUAAAAACUUACCAUGAAUCUGGCAGAAAACUCAAGGCCACACUAGCUACAUAUAGUUUACUAUUCUGAUGUAAGUAGAACUAUCUGCAUAUAAUGUGAUUUAAUUUAUUGUUGUUCUGUGUAGAAAGCAAGGAUUAAUGAUUGUGGAUAUAACCCUGUUUUGUAUAAUAUAUUUGAUUUCUGGUGCAAAAUUGGUCAUUUAAGCAAUCUACUUCAUUUGGUGUUUGGAUAUAAAUGUGUAUGUGUUCUUGUAAAGGUUCAUAUUCAGCAAGAAUAUCACAUAGCUAAGUAUAACAAUAUGUUCUCAUUAAAAGUAUAAGUUACAG